rnacentral:rRNA from 1 species
AGCAGCCGCGGUAAUUCCAGCUCCAAUAGCGUAUAUUAAAGUUGUUGCAGUUAAAAAGCUCGUAGUUGAAUUUCGGGGUUAGUAGAUUGGUCAUGCCUCCGGUAUGCACUGGUCUUACUGAUUCCUCCUUCCUGAUGAACCGUAAUGCCAUUAAUUUGGUGUUGCGGGGAAACUGGACUGUUACUUUGAAAAAUUAGAGUGUUUAAAGCGGGCUAACGCUUGAAUACAUUAGCAUGGAAUAAUGAAAUAGGACGUUCGAUCUUAUUUUGUUGGUUUCUAGGAUUGACGUAAUGAUUAAUAGGGAUAGUUGGGGGCAUUAGUAUUCAAUUGUCAGAGGUGAAAUUCUUGGAUUUAUUGAAGACUAACUACUGCGAAAGCAUUUGCCAAGGAUGUUUUCAUUAAUCAAGAACGAAAGUUAGGGGAUCGAAGACGAUCAGAUACCGUCGUAGUCUUAACCAUAAACUAUGCCGACUAGGGAUCGGAUGAUGUUAAUUUUUUAAUGACUCAUUCGGCGCCUUAC